rnacentral:rRNA from 1 species
AUUGAACGCUGGCGGCAGGCCUAACACAUGCAAGUCGAGCGGGGUUUUCGAACCUAGCGGCGGACGGGUGAGUAAUGCGUAGGAAGCUACCCGAUAGAGGGGGAUACCAGUUGGAAACGACUGUUAAUACCGCAUAAUGUCUACGGACCAAAGUGUGGGACCUUCGGGCCACAUGCUAUCGGAUGCGCCUACGUGGGAUUAGCUAGUUGGUGAGGUAAUGGCUCACCAAGGCGACGAUUCCUAGCUGGUUUGAGAGGAUGAUCAGCCACACUGGAACUGAGACACGGUCCAGACUCCUACGGGAGGCAGCAGUGGGGAAUAUUGGACAAUGGGCGCAAGCCUGAUCCAGCCAUGCCGCGUGUGUGAAGAAGGCCUUCGGGUUGUAAAGCACUUUCAGUAGGGAGGAAGCGUUGUGUGUUAAUAGUACACAGCGUUGACGUUACCUACAGAAGAAGCACCGGCUAACUCUGUGCCAGCCGCCGCGGUAACAC